GAUGGACUGCUGUGUUGGUGACUGCCUUUCACAGUUUUCUGAUCUGACUCCCUCUUCGACAUGGGGGGUCUUCAGCGACGGCAACGUAGGCCGGCCUCGAGCCGGAAACGAAGCCCCGCCUCUGACCCCCCUUCUGGUUCUUCCAGGUCGAACACUGGGGCAAGACGGCACGGUGGUCCACCC
rnacentral:other from 1 species